AGUUUGAUUCUGGCUCAGAUUGAACGCUGGCGGGAUGCUUUACACAUGCAAGUCGAACGGCAGCACGGACUUCGGUCUGGUGGCGAGUGGCGAACGGGUGAGUAAUGUAUCGGAACGUGCCUAGUAGCGGGGAUAACUGACGCGAAAGCGUAGCACACCGCAUACGUCCCUUCGGGAAAGCGGGGACCUUCGGGCCUGCACUAUUAGAGCGGCUGAUAUCGGAUUAGCUAGUUGGUGGGGUAACGGCUCACCAAGGCGACGAUCCGGGUACGGCUUGAGAGGACGACCAGCCACACCGACCGGGAGACACGGCCCAGACUCCUACGGAGGCAGCAGUGGGGAAUUUGGACAAUGGGGAAACCCUGAUCCAGCCAUCCCGCGUGUGCGAUGAAGGCCUUCGGUUGUAAAGCACUUUUGGCAGGAAGAAACGGCACGGGAUAAUACCCUGGUGCAACUGAUUCUUGUACCUGCAGAAUAAGCACCGGCUAACUACGUGCCAGCAGCCGCGUAACACGUAGGUGCAAGUGUUAAUCGGAAUUACUGGGCGAAGCGUGCGCAGGCGGUUCGGAAAGAAAGAUGUGAAAUCCCAGAGCUUAACUUUGGAACUGCAUUUUUAACUACCGAGUUAGAGUGUGUCGUAGAGGAGGUGGAAUUCGCGUAGCAGUGAAUGCGUAGAUAUGGAGGAACGCCGAUGGCGAAGGCAGCCUCCUGGUGAUGUAACACUGACGCUCAUGCACGAAAGCGGGGAGCAAACAGAUUAGAUAAUUCUGGUAGUCCACGUCUCAAACGAUGUCAACUAGCCGUUAAAUUUCGGCCCUUCGGUAGCGCAGCUAACGCGCGGCUGGACUGCCUGUGGAGUACGGUCGCAAGAUUAAACUCAAAGGAAUUGAUUUGGGACCCGCACAAGCGGUGAUGAUGAUUAAUUCGAUGCAACGCGAAAACCUUACCUACCCUUGACAUGUCUGAAUCCCGAAGAGAUUUGGGAGGUUGCAAGAGAACCGGAACAUGAAAAGCGUAUAUGUCGUCAGCUCGUGUCGUGUGAGAUGUUGGGUUAAGUCCGCAACGAGCGCAACCCUGUCAUUAGUUGCGCGAAAGGGCAUCAUCGAGACUGCCGGUGACAAACCGGAGGAAGGUGGGAUGACGUCAAGUCCUCAUGGCCCUUAUGGGCAGGGCUUCACACGUCAUACAAUGGUCGGGACAGAGGGUCGCCAACCCGCGAGGGGGAGCCAAUCCCAGAAACCCGAUCGUAGUCCGGAUCGUAGUCUGCAACUCAUGACUGCGUGAAGUCGGGAAUCGCUAGUAAUCGCGGAUCAGCAUGUCGCGGUGAAUACGUUCCCGGGUCUUGUACACACCGCCCGUCAGCACCAUGGGAGUGGGUUUUACCAGAAGUAGUUAGCCUAACCGUAAGGAGGGCGAUUACCACGGUAGGAUUCAUGACUGGGUGAAGUCGUAACAAGGUAG
rnacentral:rRNA from 1 species